AUUGAACGCUGGCGGCGUGCCUAACACAUGCAAGUCGAGCGGUAACAGGUGUAGCAAUACAUGCUGACGAGCGGCGGACGGGUGAGUAACGCUUGGGAAUCUGCCUAUUAGUGGGGGACAACCCGGGGAAACUCGGGCUAAUACCGCAUACGCUCUACGGAGGAAAGCCGGGGACCGCAAGGCCUGGCGCUAAUAGAUGAGCCCAAGUCGGAUUAGCUAGUUGGUAGGGUAAUGGCCUACCAAGGCGACGAUCCGUAACUGGUCUGAGAGGACGACCAGUCACACCGGAACUGAGACACGGUCCGGACUCCUACGGGAGGCAGCAGUGGGGAAUAUUGGACAAUGGGCGAAAGCCUGAUCCAGCGACGCCGCGUGGGUGAAGAAGGCCUGCGGGUUGUAAAGCCCUUUCAGUGGGGAAGAAAAGCCUCGACCUAACACGUCGGGGUCUUGACGUAACCCAUAGAAGAAGCACCGGCUAACUCUGUGCCAGCAGCAGCCGCCGCGGUAAU
rnacentral:rRNA from 1 species